GACGGAGGAGGCAAGCGUUAUCCGGAAUUAUUGGGCGUAAAGGGUACGUAGGCGGCUGGUCAAGUCUGGGGUCAAAGGCCACAGCUCAACUGUGGGAAGGCCCUGGAAACUGGCCGGCUAGAGUGAGGUAGGGGCUGUGGGAAUUCCCGGUGUAGCGGUGAAAUGCGUAGAGAUCGGGAAGAACACCUGAGGCGGAAGCGCGCAACUGGGCCUCAACUGACGCUGAGGUACGAAAGCUAGGGGAGCGAAUGGG
rnacentral:rRNA from 1 species